rnacentral:rRNA from 1 species
GGCGACGACGGGUAGCUGGCGUGAGAAGCGUGGCCAGCCACACUGGGACUGAGACACGGCCCAGACUCCUACGGGAGGCAGCAGUGGGGAAUCUUGCGCAAUGGGCGAAAGCCUGACGCAGCGACGCCGCGUGGGGGAUGAAGGCCUUCGGGUUGUAAACCCCUUUCGGCAGGGAAGAAGCGAAAGUGACGGUACCUGCAGAAGAAGCCCCGGCUAACUACGUGCCAGCAGCCGCGGUAAGACGUAGGGGGCGAGCGUUGUCCGGAUUUAUUGGGCGUAAAGCGCGCGUAGGCGGUCCGUUAAGUCGGAUGUGAAAAUCCGGGGCUCAACCCCGGACCUGCAUCCGAUACUGGCGGGCUGGAGGCAGGUAGGGGAGAUCGGAAUUCCUGGUGUAGCGGUGAAAUGCGCAGAUAUCAGGAGGAACACCGGUGGCGAAGGCGGAUCUCUGGGCCUGUCCUGACGCUCAGGCGCGAAAGCUAGGGGAGCAAACAGGAUUAGAUACCCUGGUAGUCCUAGCUGUAAACGUUGGGUGCUAGGUGUGGGGCGGCGU